UUUCUCCUAGAAAUCUGUAGCGAAACGUUAGGCCCCUUUUUCUUUUCAUCAAACGUUACUUUCCCUUGCCCUCCUCUUCUUCUUUACGCUUGCUUUCGUACUUUUUUCCUCGGAAAGACACCCUCUCAAAAUUUCUCAAACAAAUCAGUUCACAUUUUCACACGAAGAAGAAGAAUCAGAGUACAUUUAAGGUUUAUUCUGCGCCACAAAGCAAAGAGAACGGCUGUUAAGGGAGUGGGUAGCAAUGAUUCUCUUCUGCAAUUUCAAAUUUAUGCUCUGAAUCUUGGUUUUGAACGAGUGGCUGAGAAUUUGGGGAGAAGACUUCUCAUGUAUUUCACUCUUUUCAUGUUUCGUCUCUCCUCAACAAUUGUAACAGUUUGUAACUCUUAAGCAGCCGGGUCUCAUAUCAUUAUGCUCGAUAAAGAAUAAUUGAUUCCUUCGGAUCAUCUACAUAAAGAUAAUAUUCGAAUUCUUCCGAAAUUGUCGUCCUUCAGGGAAAGACGAAUUUAUUUUUAAUGGUAAAGUAGCAAUUUGUCUUCUCUAAUGUUUUCAUUCGUGGUUGUUUCUUAAUUUACAGGCUUUUAAACGGUCUCGUUGGUGCAGCUCAAGUCUGGAGCAAACUGUUAGUUUGGUUGGGCAUUAGGAGGAAUCCUAGCAACUGGGAUGAUGAGCUACUGUGGACUGAACAAAAUGCAAAGAGCAAAUCUCCUCAGGCUUAAGUUUAUAGAAAUUUGUUGGCUUUGUAGUAGUUCCCUUUUGCUAAAAAUGAAUCAACUUGAGCCUGUUUGGAUGGGCUUAGUCUAACUUAUUUUUUUGGCUUAUAAACUGUUUUCGGCUUAUAAGCUGCUUUAGAUAAGCUAAGUCAAAUGAGUUCAAUUAUUUUUUUGAGCUUAUUUUAAGCACAAAAUGACUUUAAGCUGAUCAGUUAAACACUCAAAAAAACUGAAAACUGCUUAUAAGCAACUUAUAAGCCAAUCCAAACGGGCUCAAGUGCAAUUUAUGUUGCCAAGUAAUUUCCACAUUUUUUUUUCCUAUCUUCAACA